CUCCAACCACUGAGCCACCCAGCUGCUGCCCCGCUUCAGCCUCUAGAAAUAAAAAAGUAAAACAGGACAAGCUGGUUCUGUGUGGCCCCUUGCCCCUCUCAGUUCGGUGGUCCUGGGAUCUGCACCUGCGGCGGGUUCCAGACGCUCCCCUGGAGGCGUGGGGGUCACGGUUCAUCACUCAGAAGCCUGGUCUGUAGGAACUCCAGCUUGGCUGGAGCCGGGGAGCCCCCAGGCCACGACUUUGGGAAGUCAGUUCUCAAGGAGCAGCCGGAUUCCUCUUCUUGACUCACAGAUCUGCCCUCCUCUGCUCAAAACUCAAGUCGCUCCCUGCCUUCCAAAAGCCGCCCUUCCCUGGGCGUUGCCCACCCAGACUUCCCACGUCGUCUCCUCCGUCACUCCUGCCCUCCUCCAGGUGGGGAGAACUCCUCCGGCCUCUGGUCUGCACUCACGCUCCUCCCCAGGUGUCCAGAGCAGGACCACCAGGACAUGAAGGGUCUCAAGCCCACGGUGUGUGCGGGUCAGCCGGAGGACCCAGAGGAGGCUCAGUGGGCACUCUAGCCACCCUGGCUGUUUGAAGGGCUGCGGCAAGAGGACGGGGUGGACUGCUCUAGCCCAGGGGCAGAGUCCCCAAAAGUGGAAUGGGCUGCCGCAGGAGUUGGUAAACUCCCCAUCACCAGAAGUAUCCAAGCAAAGACCGGGUGAUGUCUACCUGUCCCAUGUUGUAGAAAGGAUUCUUGACUUUCUGUGAUUCUGUUCCCGGAGUGUUCCCUCUGCCCCUUCUGUCUGCUGGGGGCUGCCUUCUUCUUAGGAGCCAUCUCCCCUGAGAAACCUUCCCUGAUCUCUCCCAUCAGCAAAGAUCUCUUCUUACCCCCCACCCCCUACACACAUGCACACACACACACUCACAUACACACACUCACACACCUGUAAUUUCACAUCUCUUCAACACAUUUCUGUAAUACUUUGAGAAGAAUCUGGAAUCAUGCCAGCGUGGGUCUCAAUCCUCUACCCUUCUCCUCUUGGGCACUCCACAGUCCUCCAGAGAGUGUCCACACAGGGUCCUGGAGGCCUCUCUGGGAUUCCGUCGUGAUGCCCCUGGGCCACCCCUCCGCAAUCCUUCCCUAUUUACACCCCCCACCCCGGGCAGCUGUCCCUUCAUUGCCUUUGGAUUGAUCACCUUCAGCUGUGA